UCCGUAGGGGGCUAGCGUUGUCCGGAAUCAUUGGGCGUAAAGAGCGUGUAGGCGGCCCGGUAAGUCCGCUGUGAAAGUCGGGGGCUCAACCCUCGAAUGCCGGUGGAUACUGUCGGGCUAGAGUGCGGAAGAGGCGAGUGGAAUUCCUGGUGUAGCGGUGAAAUGCGCAGAUAUCAGGAGGAACACCGGUGGCGAAGGCGGGUCUCUGGGCCGUAACUGACGCUGAGGAGCGAAAGCAUGGGGAGCGAACAGG
rnacentral:rRNA from 1 species